GGCCACUGCUAUGGGGGUCCGACUAAGCCAUGCGAGUCAUGGGGCGCGCUCUGCGCGCACCGGCGGACGGCUCAGUAACACGUCGGUAACCUACCCUCGGGAGGGGGAUAACCCCGGGAAACUGGGGCUAAUCCCCCAUAGGCCUGAGGUACUGGAAGGUCCUCAGGCCGAAAGGGUCUUUGACCGCCCGAGGAUGGGCCGGCGGCCGAUUAGGUAGUUGGUGGGGUAACGGCCCACCAAGCCGAAGAUCGGUACGGGCCAUGAGAGUGGGAGCCCGGAGAUGGACACUGAGACACGGGUCCAGGCCCUACGGGGCGCAGCAGGCGCGAAACCUCCGCAAUGCGGGCAACCGCGACGGGGGGACCCCCAGUGCCGUGGCAUCGCCACGGCUUUUCCGGAGUGUAAAAAGCUCCGGGAAUAAGGGCUGGGCAAGGCCGGUGGCAGCCGCCGCGGUAAUACCGGCGGCCCGAGUGGUGGCCGCUAUUAUUGGGCCUAAAGCGUCCGUAGCCGGGCCCGUAAGUCCCUGGCGAAAUCCCACGGCUCAACCGUGGGGCUUGCUGGGGAUACUGCGGGCCUUGGGACCGGGAGAGGCGGGGGGUACCCCUGGGGUAGGGGUGAAAUCCUAUAAUCCCAGGGGGACCGCCAGUGGCGAAGGCGCCCCGCUGGAACGGGUCCGACGGUGAGGGACGAAGGCCAGGGGAGCGAACCGGAUUAGAUACCCGGGUAGUCCUGGCUGUAAAGGAUGCGGGCUAGGUGUCGGGCGAGCUUCGAGCUCGCCCGGUGCCGAAGGGAAGCCGUUAAGCCCGCCGCCUGGGGAGUACGGCCGCAAGGCUGAAACUUAAAGGAAUUGGCGGGGGAGCACUACAAGGGGUGGAGCGUGCGGUUUAAUUGGAUUCAACGCCGGGAACCUCACCGGGGGCGACGGCAGGAUGAAGGCCAGGCUGAAGGUCUUGCCGGACACGCCGAGAGGAGGUGCAUGGCCGCCGUCAGCUCGUACCGUGAGGCGUCCACUUAAGUGUGGUAACGAGCGAGACCCGCGCCCCCAGUUGCCAGUCCUCCCCGCUGGGGAGGAGGCACUCUGGGGGGACCGCCGGCGAUAAGCCGGAGGAAGGAGCGGGCGACGGUAGGUCAGUAUGCCCCGAAACCCC
rnacentral:rRNA from 1 species